GGCGAUGAGGAUUCAGUCGUGCAUCUUUGCAGGAUUCAUAACCCUGAGGUCACGGGUUCAACUCCCGUCCUCGCUA
rnacentral:tRNA from 1 species